CACCAGCUCACCCACUCAAGGAAGCAGGGAUGGCCAGGUUCCCACAGCCUGAGUGUGUGCCACCUAAUGGCUGAUGAAGCAGAGGCCUUAGGAAAACCAGAUGGCACUGUGGCCCUAUCUUUAUGGUAGAAGAACUGAUUUAGCCUGACUGGCAGCGUGUGAGGUUGGUGGCUGGUCCACCUGCUGCUGGCACAUCCGUGCAAAGAUAGCUGGUUGCUCUUUGAGCCAGCUUGCCCUUGCCCGGCAUGCACAAGCCUCAGUGCAACAACUGUGCUACAAAUGGAGCCAUAUAGAGGAAAGGAGCAGCAGGCUCAGGACCAGGGUGUGCGCUGCCUUUGGGCCUUCCGUCCAUGCCUCAUGGGUCAUAUGACACUGCAGGCUUCUUGGUUGCCAAGAGGCAGACCACAGGUCGUCUUGAGGAGUUUAUGUUCCAGUCCAGAAAGCAGCUAGUAUUACCACCCAGGGGACUUGGGCUUCUGUGGCCCAGGCCAGACGUAGAAUUUGACAGAGUCAGGAUAAUCUCAUUUAGAGCAGCAUGUCGGUCCCCGGGGCCUGUGCAUGCCAGGCAAGGCCAAGCUGGCUCAAAGAGCAACCAGCCACCUCUGCAAGGGUGUGCCAGGAGCAGGUGGAGCAGCCACCAACCUCACCCACUCAAAGAAGCAGGGAUGGCCAGGUUCCAACAGCCUGAGUGGCUGCCACCUGAUGGCUGAUGGAGCAGAGGCGUGAGGAAAAGCUGAUGGCACUGCUUUGUAGUGCUGUUCUUUGUCUCUCUUCAUCUUUUUCAGUUAAAGUCUGUUUUAUCAGAGACUAGGAUUGCAAACCCUGCUUUUUUUUGCUUUCCAUUUGCUUGGUAAAUAUUCCUCCAUCCCUUUAUUUUAAACCUAUGUGUGUCUUUGCGCAUGAGAUGGGUCUCCUGAAUACAGGACACCAUUGGGUCUUUACUCUUUAUCCAACUUGCCAGUCUGUGUCUUUUAACUGGGGCAUUUAGCCCAUUUACAUUUAAGUUUAGUAUUGUUACAUGUGAAAUUUAUCCUGUCAUGAUGUUGCUAGUUUUUAAUUUUUCCCAUUAGUUAAUGCAGUUUCUUUAUAGUGUCAAUGGUCUUUACAAUUUGGUAUGUUUUUGUAGUGGCUGGUACUGGUUGUUCCUUUCCACGUUUAGUGCUUACUUCAGGAGCUCUUGUAACGCAAGAAUGUGGAUUUAUUUCUGCAAAGCUGGAAGCUGUAUCUUCAAAAUAUGUCUAUUUGACUAAGAAGAAGUUAUUCAACAGGAGUUAUUAUCUAUGAAAAAAGUACAACCAGAAUAUAAAAAACUUGAGGAGGAUAAAAAGAUGUUGGAAGAAGUAAUAUUAAAUCUUAAAAAACAUGGAAACUGCACAUUGGUGAAGACACAUUGGUGAAGUACAAAAAUAUAAAUUGGAUGUAGAAGAAAGGGCAAUGCAGGCAAUAGAAAAAUUAGUAGAAAUCCCUUUACAGGUUAGUUUGUAAAAUCAGGUAAGUUUAUUUAUAAUGUGCUUUCAUUUAUUUCACUGCAAAUUAUAUUUUGGAUAUAUAUAUUGUGUUUCCUCUGCCUCUCUUAUAGCAAUUUGCCUUGUAGAGUUCUAGCAAAAAGGUGGCAUCUGUUUUUACUUUCAAAUAUUUAAAUUUCCAUCAUUAUAACAAAAUCAAUUUUUCAGAGUAAUGAUUCUUACUGUGGAGUCAUUUGAUUAUUAAGACCCAUUGGCAUAAGAUUACAUCCUCUGACUAUAAAAAUCGUGGAAGAAAACCUAGGAAAUAUUCGUCUGGACAUUGCACUUGGCAGUGAAUUUAUGGGUUCAUCUGCGUUGCUCUAAAUGGGACUGUUUCAUUAUUUUGAUGGCUGAAGAAUAUUUCCUAGU
rnacentral:lncRNA from 1 species